CUUCUCUUUGCUGGCUUCACUCCUGUCCCGGUGAUCAAUGGGCUCUGGUUGGGCUGGAAAGCAGCACAAAGAGAGGCAUUUACAGCCCUGCUGUCUCUCCAACAGGGCUGUAACUCAGGCUCCCGGUCACCGUGGGGAAUGGGAGGCAGGAGCUCCUGCUUUGGUGGCAGCAGCAGCACCGACAUUUUUCCUCUUGUGGUAAAUGUGUUACUUGGGGGUAAUUUACCUGCUUAUGUCAAGUUUUGAAAAGAAACAGACUGGCUGCUGAGCAGCUCCUGACACUUGCAGUGUGCAUGGCAUGAACACACAUGUCUACACAGAGAAAAGGAAUCACCCAAGCUGGAAGGACCUGUUUGCAAAUGCCUGCACUGGCGCUGCAGUCUCGGCGUGGAGUCAGUUUAGGACUGAGGCUGAGAUCUUGCCACAGUCCAUCCCUCCGGGGGAUCUCCAGGGUCUGCAGCCACCUACUGGUCCUGGUAAGGCUGCCCGCUGCACCGGGGCUGCUUGGGGCUGGCUGUCCCGUGUCCCGCAGCGUGCCGGGGGCAUCCUCUGCCCUCAUCCUUUCUCCAGGAUGCUCUGGUCAGUGGUACCAAGCCUGGAGAAGGGCGCCUUGCUGGGGGAAACUGAACACGCAUGGACUGAUGGUUUCGUGAACAUCAGCUGCAGAGCCAGGGAGGGCCCCAGGUGUCUGAGCCCAGCUCCUGCCCAGGACUCGGGCGUAAUGGGGCUGCUCGCGAGGCGCCGUGCGAUUUGUCACAGGCCUCGUUCCCUGAUAACGGGCAUUUGUCAUCACUUUCUUCCCGUGUUAAUGUCAUCAUCGCCGAGCUGACAGGCAGACCCGUUGAGGGAGCGCUGGCGACAGACCACAUCCGUCAACCUAAUAUUUCCAUGGCUGUGGGGAUCAGCCGGGCUGCGAACACACAUUAAAGCGCUUAUGAGGGGAGGGGGGAAAAAAAGGGGGUUUUCAUUAAUUAAAAUGUUAGUGCGAGAGUGUGAGAGUGUGAGUGUGUGUGUGGGUGGCACUGCGUGGGGACAGGGGGCCGUGGCGCAGAGGGCGCAGCGUGGGGCGGGUGCGGCGCGGUGGCCUUUUAACGGAGCUCACAUCAGCUCCUGAAACCCAUUUAAAAGAUAUUUGGGACUGGGGAAUCAGCGGUGAGCACGGUGGAAAGGUCAUUGUUAAUAAGGGAGAGCACACGGGAG
rnacentral:lncRNA from 1 species